UGUGGGAGCGAGCCUGCUCGCGAUGACGGCCUGUCAGUCAAUGCAUCGGUGACUGACACACCGCCAUCGCGAGCAGGCUCGCUCCCACA
rnacentral:misc_RNA from 1 species